rnacentral:rRNA from 1 species
CUCCAAUAGCGUAUAUUAAAGUUGUUGCAGUUAAAAAGCUCGUAGUCUGAGUCGAUGGCUUUUUUUUACGGUGUCUAGCGUCCGCGGCGUGGCUGCAAAUUCAUUUGUGGCUUGCUGCGUGUAUGCUAUGCCGGGCCAUUUUAUUUAUCUUCGGAGGAACGUAUUGUGCCUUUCAUUAGGUGCGUGCGGGAUUCCGAUAG